CUUAGCAGAGAUGCUUUGGUGCCUUCGGGAACUCUGAGACAGGUGCUGCAUGGCUGUCGUCAGCUCGUGUUGUGAAAUGUUGGGUUAAGUCCCCGCAACGAGCGCAACCCUUAUCCUUUGUUGCCAGCGGCUCGGCCGGGAACUCAAAGGAGACUGCCGGUGAUAAACCGGAGGAAGGUGGGGAUGACGUCAAGUCAUCAUGGCCCUUACGGCCAGGGCUACACACGUGCUACAAUGGCGCAUACAAAGAGAAGCGACCUCGCGAGAGCAAGCGGACCUCACAAAGUGCGUCGUAGUCCGGAUUGGAGUCUGCAACUCGACUCCAUGAAGUCGGAAUCGCUAGUAAUCGUAGAUCAGAAUGCUACGGUGAAUACGUUCCCGGGCCUUGUACACACCGCCCGUCACACCAUGGGAGUGGGUUGCAAAAGAAGUAGGUAGCUUAACCUUCGGGAGGGCGCUUACCACUUUGUGAUUCAUGACUGGGGUGAAGUCGUAACAAGGUAGGCGUAGCGAG
rnacentral:rRNA from 1 species